CUUAGCUUUUCAGCUGCCUGUUGUGUUUUGGUUGAAAGGAUGAGAGAAAGAGAUUGUGAAGAGCACACUUGAGUCUACAAAGAUUUUCCCAUAAGAAUCAAGUCUACUAGAUGAAUUUCAAGUUUUGUCCUGGAAGCCUUCUGGAGCAGAGCAGUGGAAAGCUACUGACACAAUGUCGCCUUUUUGAGAGUGCUGGAUUGUCUGGAACUGGACAAAAAUGCCACUUCAGGGGUCAUCCUGGAGUCAAACAAAAUGAGGGACUGCUUGCUGAGUUCAGCUUCAAACUAAGAAAGAAUAAAUGAGAAGAUGUGAAGGAAAGAAAGUUCCAGGACUAAAGCUUUUCAAAACAAUGUGAUUUUACUGAAUUAUCAUAUCCCACAAGUUCUUCAGUCACAUGAGAACUUGAAGUAUAAAGACCUGAAGCCGAAAAGAACAUUCUUACCAAGGAAUACGA